rnacentral:rRNA from 1 species
CGCCUACAUUGCCAUGUGUUUGCCAGGUUCCCACUUCUUGAGGAGUUCGCGGAUAGCCGGGAGCAACCAGAUCGGGUUCCUCUGGUGGUGGUGGCGAACAACGGGGCAACGGUUGAUGUACCUGCAGGCAUGUUUGAGCAUACAAAGGCGUCACUGACUACGCUUGGUGUGGAAGGUGACGUUGCGGUUCUACCUCGGCAUGAUAGGGUGCGGCGAGAACAUUCUAAAGAAGUGGAGCUUUGUAAGGAUGGUGAAGCAAAAGACUGGGAGUACAUCUACAUGAUGAUGGACUGUAAAAAGAUGGGCUACAGAAUCGACUGGCUUAAAAAGAAAAAUAACAAUCAAACAACACUAUGGGGUGGUGGGCCAAUGGAUGCAUGGAGGGGUAUUGUUGGAAAAAUCUCAAAAAGAUUCUUCUUCAUUUAG